rnacentral:lncRNA from 1 species
ACCCAAUACCCAACUUAUGUCGAGAGAAAAUUCCAAAAUAAAAACAAAAAAAAUUAGGUCAAAGUCGUCAAUUAGAAGAAUACACUAAUCUUAAAUCCCCAAAUUCAAGCUUAGCUCUGAAGCAACGACGAUUUCUGAAACAACAAUGCUAAGAAAAUGCUGAAAUGCCGACUCGCCUAAGCUCCGAUCGCUAUUAACUUUUCUAUCUCCUUUUCAGUGGUGGUUAAUUCAUCGAUCAACAACUGAAAUGCUGAAAAUUCUAAGCGAUAAGUUUCGAUCCACCGGUCACCGAACAACAACAAUGGCUACAACAAGUUUAAAUCUUUCUUCAAGUCUAAAUCUACAACCAAUUAUUAAUUAGACGAUGAGCACUUCUGAGAUACUACAACGAUGUCUUGAGCAAGCGUGAGACGUUGAGAACUUUUGGAGGGACAUGGCUGAUCCCUAAUUUGACGAUGAGCACUUUUGGGAGCAGCGUGAGACGAUUCCUCAAUUAGAAGAUUCUGGUUCGAUUAGCCACUUUUAAGAAUCUUAUCAAUUAUCAACUGAUAGGAUUUGGCGAUGAGAAAGAAAUAGGAUUUUUUGAUAUAUGUUGUAUUGAGAGAGGAAAUUUUUUUUUUUUUGCAGACUAAUGAAAUAUUACAGAG